AGAGUUUGAUUAUGGCUCAGGGUGAACGCUGGCGGCGCGCUUAAUGCAUGCAAGUCGAGCGUGCCGGCGGGCUUCGGAACGCAGGCAGCGGCAGACGGCUGAGUAACGCGUGAGUAACUUGCCCUCUGGUGGGGUAUAGCCUCGAGAAAUUGAGGAUAAUCCCGCAUAAGACCCUAUCCCCUUGGGGAUAAGGUGAAAGCCUACGGGCGCCGGAGGAGAGGCUCGCGUCCUAUCAGGUAGUUGGCGAGGUAAUGGCUCACCAAGCCGAUGACGGGUAGCUGGUCUGAGAGGAUGACCAGCCAGAGGGGGACUGAGACACGGCCCCCACUCCUACGGGAGGCAGCAGCAGGGAAUCUUGGGCAAUGGGCGAAAGCCUGACCCAGCGACGUCGCGUGGGGGAUGAAGGCCUUAGGGUUGUAAACCCCUUUUCCCAAGGAAGAGAAAGGACGGUACUUGGGGAAUAAGCCCCGGCUAACUACGUGCCAGCAGCCGCGGUAAUACGUAGGGGGCAAGCGUUACCCGGAAUCACUGGGCGUAAAGCGCGCGUAGGCGGCUGGGUAAGUCUCUUGUGAAAGCUCCCGGCUUAACUGGGAGAGGUCAAGAGAUACUACCUGGCUGGAGGGCAGUAGAGGAAGGCGGAAUUCCCGGUGUAGCGGUGAUAUGCGUAGAUAUCGGGAGGAACACCAGUGGCGAAGGCGGCCUUCUGGGCUGUGCCUGACGCUGAGGCGCGAGAGCGUGGGGAGCAAACAGGAUUAGAUACCCUGGUAGUCCACGCCCUAAACGAUGGAUGCUAGGUAUGGGGGGUAUCGACCCCUCCCGUGCCGCAGCUAACGCGAUAAG
rnacentral:rRNA from 1 species